rnacentral:rRNA from 1 species
AUUGAACGCUAGCGGGAUGCCUUACACAUGCAAGUCGAACGGCAGCACGGACUUCGGUCUGGUGGCGAGUGGCGAACGGGUGAGUAAUGUAUCGGAACGUGCCCAGUAGCGGGGGAUAGCUACUCGAAAGAGUAGCUAAUACCGCAUACGCCCUACGGGGGAAAGGGGGGAUCGCAAGACCUCUCACUAUUGGAGCGGCCGAUAUCGGAUUAGCUAGUUGGUGGGGUAAAGGCCCACCAAGGCGACGAUCCGUAGCUGGUUUGAGAGGACGACCAGCCACACUGGGACUGAGACACGGCCCAGACUCCUACGGGAGGCAGCAGUGGGGAAUUUUGGGCAAUGGGGGCAACCCUGAUCCAGCCAUCCCGCGUGUGCGAUGAAGGCCUUCGGGUUGUAAAGCACUUUUGGCAGGAAAGAAAUCGCAUGGGUUAAUACCCUGUGUGGAUGACGGUACCUGCAGAAUAAGCACCGGCUAACUACGUGCCAGCCGCCGCGGUAA